GGCAGAGGACACGUUGGCUGAAACCGGGCAGGACAGCGGAGCAAUGCAUUCCUGCGGUUUCUCCCCCUCCCACUGUUCCAGCUCUGAGAUAACUGCUCAUUUACAAGAGGGGGAACAGAAAACCUUAGAAAGGAGAUGUGUGUGCAAAACGCUAAACUCAGGAGAACGCUGGCCAGUUAACAGUUUCAGACUCAUCAAGGAGCAGAAUGGGAGAAAUACUUUAAAAGCUGGAAAAUGACGUGAUGGCAGGGCUAUAACAGCCUGCUUUGUCCUUGAGGUAGCCUUGUGAAUGAAAGCUACGUAUGCCAGAAGUAUAAAACAAAGAUUGAAUCCCUGCCACUACGUCAUAUCAUCCCUGGACUGUUUCUGGAAUACUGGAACAGGAAAGAGAAAUAAACCAUCUACUUAAGCCAUU